AAUUUAUUAUGAUUUCCAAACUUAGCCCCAAUCCCAAGCCCAAGCCCAAACAUAAGUAUCAUACUCUGGUCAAACCAAGUAAAGUAAGAGACCGAGCUUACUUCACAAUGGCGGUCACUUGGAAGACCUAACCUUAAGUGUUUUAGUUAUCAAUCAAAGAAGAGUUUGGUAGCUUUGGCAUAUUGUAAAGUAACUUGCAUAGUUGCAUCUAUUUAUUCCUUUUUGUAAUUUUCUCAAAAAAAAAAAAAAAAAAAUUGAAGUCGUUUUGGUUGUGUUUUAUUUUUUUGACAAAUAAGCUUUUGGUAUUUUGCUUCCUAAGUCCUAACUGAGACGGAUUCGGAUAUCCGGUGUUUUUGGAGGUAUCCGGAUCCGCCUCCGGAUCCGCCGGAUAUGUAGUUGUGAUCUCCGAAUCCGGAUCCGGCCACCCCGGAUAUCCGGCCACCGGAUCUCCGUUCAAAUACUCGGAUAUCCGCGGAUAUCCGGAUCCGCGAAACCAGAGGAAAAGAAGAGAAAGGGCUCUUAGCCACCGUAGAUAUAACAGGCGGAGGAUGGAGGAAAGUUGGUGGUGGAGGAGCAAUAGAGCCGAAAUCAAAAAGAAAGAACUGAAUCGAUGAAAGGACUGCUCCAUCUCCUAUGUCGGCCGUCGUGGAAGUGAAAAGAGAGAGGUUUUUUUUUUGUUUUUUUGUCGAGAAUGUUGUGGCUAUGGACUAGGGUUUGUGUAGGUGUUAGUUUAUUGGAUUUGGCCCAAUACUUUUAGAUAUUAAAAUUUAAAAGUCCAAUAACAUAAAGCCCAAAUCCAAUAGAUUAGCAUAGAACCGGAUCCGGAUAUCCGGUUUGAAUUUUUAUCGAUAUCCGACUCCGUAUCCGGAUCCGGUCGGAUACCAAAAUUCAAUAUCCGAAUCCGGAUCCGCCCUAUCCGGAUAUCCGGUUUUUCGGAUCAGAUCCGGAUUCGGAGCCGGAUAUCCGACGGAUCCGGAUAUUUAGUCCCAGGCCUAGGUACUACUAGUACUAGUACUAACUAAUGUCGCACGGAAAAUGCCAAAUCUUGUUAGUCUUAGUCAACUUUUUCGCUUGCAUUAAAACGAUCAUUUAUGUCGAUAUGGCGUUGUAGGCUUGUUUGUAGCCCCGGCAAAGGUUCUGGCUUAAUUAUGUGAAAUAAAGUGUAAAAUAAUGUAAUAAGUUCGUCGAUGGAAUCAUACUUGAAACA